rnacentral:tRNA from 1 species
GCGGCUGUAGUGUAGUGGUAACACAAGUGCUUCCCAAGCACUUAUCACGAGUUCGAGUCUCGUCAGCCGCU